UACAGAGGGGGCAAGCGUUGCUCGGAAUUACUGGGCGUAAAGGGCGCGUAGGCGGGAUGGCAAGUCGGUCGUGAAAUCCCUCGGCUCAACUGAGGUACGUCGAUCGAUACUGCCGUUCUUGAGGGUUGCAGAGGAGACUGGAAUUCCCGGUGUAGCGGUGAAAUGUGUAGAGAUCGGGAGGAACACCGGUGGCGAAGGCGGGUCUCUGGGCAACUCCUGACGCUGAGGCGCGAAAGCGUGGGGAGCAAACGGG
rnacentral:rRNA from 1 species